rnacentral:lncRNA from 1 species
GAGAGGCUCCGGCCAAGAGGGAUGCAUGAGCGAGCCCGCCUGAGCGGAGCGCGGCGGCAUCUUCCGCCAUCCGUUCCGCCGCCCAGGCGCGUGGAAAGCCGCCGGUCGCUGCCAUUGUUACCGGCGGGCGAUGCGGGGACCGGAGCCUCCGCUCCGGCGAGAGAUAAAUAGCCCCUGACAGCGCCUCUUCGCACCCACAGCUCGGCAGAUCGGACUCGGCGAACGGCCGCAGGUCUGUGUCGUUUCCUUUCGCGAGAGUCCCUUUAAAUCACCGCUCCCCCCCCCAACAUCUCCCGGGGCAUGCUGCCGACCUUCCCCCACUCCUCUCCCGACCCCGCACGCCCCCCCCUGCUCGCUCCCGCUGCUACGGCUCGGCACGACGUGGAGCCACCGGCCCGGCGCGGAGCCCCGCCGGGGGAGUAGGGGGCGAGAAAAGUCUCUGCUGAAAUACUUUCGGCAGGCUUCGCCUUUGCCAGGAGGGGUCUUAGCGCUGGGUCUUUUGUCUUGGGGCCUUCGUCUGCGUCCCUCGGGGCGGCUGGCGGCUCUCCCGGGAAUAGCCUCCGGGGAAAGCGUCGGGGCGUCCCGGCCCCCCUCUCCAGCAGCACCCGGCCGCACUUCUGCAGGCUCGCCCGCCUCCCGGUUCCCCUCUCCCGCCGCAGAAGCUGAGGGGUUGAGCCCUGCCCGCCGGAGCCCCAUCCUACCCGCGCCGCCCCUUCGCGUGGUGAGCGUGACAGUGGCCCGAGGGGGGCCAGGGGAGUCCCUCGCCGGCCGUGCUGCUCCCCUCCACCGGACAUCCCGGAGAGGGGGUCGGGGGGGCAACUCCGGUAGCCAAAGCACUACUUUCCAGCUGCCCCCUCCCGCCCCUCCCACGCGCCCGGCAGCCCCGGGGCGAAGCGGCCGGGCAUGUGCGCUCCGGACCCCUUGGCACCUCUCCGGGCUGCCUUCCCCCGGGGCACCGGGGAACGCCACGUCCCCCGCGGGCGCUUGCGAGCGGCUAGGCGUGAAGCAAGCCCGCAUUUCAUUUCUUCCAGUACCCCAUUCCUCACCCCCCGCCCCAGC